GCUAGGAUAGUUCAACUGGUUAGAACAUUAAUUUCAUGCAUUAACAAUGGGGAUUCGAGUUUCUCUCCUGGCU
rnacentral:tRNA from 1 species